GCAUAUCAAUAAGCGGAGGAAAAGAAACCAACCGGGAUUGCCUCAGUAACGGCGAGUGAAGCGGCAAGAGCUCAAAUUUGAAAUCUGGCCCCUUUGGGGUCCGAGUUGUAAUUUGCAGAGGAUGCUUCGGGUGCGGUCCCCAUCUAAGUGCCCUGGAACGGGCCGUCAUAGAGGGUGAGAAUCCCGUCUGGGAUGGGCGGCCGCGCCCGUGUGAAGCUCCUUCGACGAGUCGAGUUGUUUGGGAAUGCAGCUCUAAGCGGGUGGUAAAUUUCAUCUAAAGCUAAAUACUGGCCGGAGACCGAUAGCGCACAAGUAGAGUGAUCGAAAGAUGAAAAGCACUUUGAAAAGAGAGUUAAACAGCACGUGAAAUUGUUGAAAGGGAAGCGUUGUCCACCAGACUCGCCCGGGGGGGCUCAGCCGGCACGUGUGCCGGUGUACUCCUCUCCGGGCGGGCCAGCAUCGGUUUGGGCGGCUGGUGAAAGGCCCCGGGAAUGUAACACCCUCCGGGGUGCCUUAUAGCCCGGGGUGCCAUGCAGCCAGCCUGGACCGAGGCCCGCGCUUCGGCGAGGAUGCUGGCGUAAUGGUGGUCAACGGCCCGUCUUGAAACACGGACC
rnacentral:rRNA from 1 species